CACGUAGGGCGCAAGCGUUGUCCGGAAUUAUUGGGCGUAAAGAGCUCGUAGGCGGUCUGUUGCGUCCGCUGUGAAAUCUCGGGGCUUAACCCCGAGCCUGCAGUGGAUACGGGCAGACUAGAGGUAGGUAGGGGAGAAUGGAAUUCCCGGUGUAGCGGUGAAAUGCGCAGAUAUCGGGAGGAACACCGGUGGCGAAGGCGGUUCUCUGGGCCGAAACUGACGCUGAGGAGCGAAAGCGUGGGUAGCAAACAGG
rnacentral:rRNA from 1 species